rfam:Triticum urartu cultivar G1812 contig213935, whole genome shotgun sequence.
GUGGUACUCGCUCCAUCCGAAAAAACUUGUCCUAAACUUGUUCCUCAAAUAGAUGUAUCUACCACUAACUUGGUGUUAGAUACAUCCAUUUGAUGGACAAGCUUUUUCGGACGAAGGAAGUAUUCA